CACAACGCACCUCUCUUCCCGUCCCCUCCCCUCCCGUCGACGCACAGCGGCUGGCGGCGGCGUUGGCUUCCUCCUCCUCCUCCUCCUCCUUUCCAGGAAUCAGCAACCAAUUUGCCCCCAAUCCGACCGCCGCUCAAGCCCACUGGCCACCGCCGUGGACUGCUGAGAUGACGAAGAAGAUGGCUGAACCAGUUA